rnacentral:rRNA from 1 species
ACGAACGCUGGCGGCAUGCCUAACACAUGCAAGUCGAACGAGACCUUCGGGUCUAGUGGCGCACGGGUGCGUAACGCGUGGGAACCUGCCCUUAGGUUCGGAAUAACUCCCCGAAAGGGGUGCUAAUACCGGAUAAUGUCUUCGGACCAAAGAUUUAUCGCCUUUGGAUGGGCCCGCGUUGGAUUAGCUAGUUGGUAGGGUAAAAGCCUACCAAGGCGACGAUCCAUAGCUGGUCUGAGAGGAUGAUCAGCCACACUGGGACUGAGACACGGCCCAGACUCCUACGGGAGGCAGCAGUGGGGAAUAUUGGACAAUGGGCGGAAGGCUGAUCCAGCCAUGCCGCGUGAGUGAUGAAGGCCUUAGGGUUGUAAAGCUCUUUUACCCGGGAUGAUAAUGACCGUACCGGGAGAAUAAGCUCCGGCUAACUCCGUG